ACAGAGCCCAGGAGCACCACAGAGCAUCACAGAGCGCCAGGAGCACCACAGAACACAACAGAGUGCCAGGAGCACCACAGAGCACCACAGAGCACCAGGAGCACCACAGAGCACCACAGAGCGCCAGGAGUACCAUAGAGCACCAGGAGCACCACAGAGCACCACAGAGCACCAGGAGAACCAUAGAGCAUCACAGAGUGCCAGGAGCAUCACAAAGCACCACAGAGCACCAGGAGCACGACAGAGCACCACAGAGCACCAAAAGCACCACAGAGCACCACAGAGCGCCAGGAGUACCAUAGAGCACCAGGAGCAUCACAGAGCACCACAGAGCGCCAGGAGCACCACAGAGCAUCACAGAGCACCAGGAGCACCACAGAGCACCACAGAGCACCAGGAGCAUCACAGAGCACCACAGAGCGCCAGAAGCACCACAGAGCACCACAGAGCGCCAGGAGCACCACAGAGCACCACAGAGCGCCAGGAGCACCACAGAGCAUCACAGAGCACCAGGAGCAUCACAGAGCAUCACAGAGCACCAGGAGCAUCACAGAGCACCACAGAGCACCACAGAGCACCAGGAGAACCAUAGAGCAUCACAGAGCGCCAGGAGCAUCACAGAGCACCACAGAGCACCAGGAGCAUCACAGAGCACCACAGAGCACCAGAAGCACCACAGAGCACCACAGAGCGCCAGGAGCACCACAGAGCAUCACAGAGCGCCAGGAGCAUCACAGAGCACCAGAAGCACCACAGAGCACCAGGAACACCAUAGAGCAUCAGAGAGCGCCAGGAGCACCACAGAUCGCCAGGAGUACCACAGAGCACCACAGAGUUCCAGGAGCACUAAAGAACACCACAGAGCACCAGGAGCACCACAGAGCACCACAGAGCGCCAGGACCACCCAGAACACCACAGAGCAUCACAGAUCGCCAGGAGCACCACAGAGCACCACAGAGUACCAGGAGCACCACAGAACACCACAGAGCACCAGGAGCACCACGGAGCACCACAGAGCACCACAGAGCAUCACAGAGCACCACAGAGCGCCAGAAGCACCACAGAAUGCCUGGAGCACCACAGAGUGCCCAGAGCACCUUGAGUGGAAGGAGGAAUCUCCAAAGUACAAGGCAUCGGUCUUUCUAGUGUGGAGACAGCUGGAGGACUACCCUUAAACCCCCUGCCUGUCCAGAUGGGGGCUCCGUCAUAUGUAGAGGGAGCUCCUGCCCCUGGACACCCCUGUGAUGUGGCUGAUCCUGGGGAGGAGCGAGCCGAGGCCACUCCAUCAGCAAGGGGCCUUCUUGCUCUAUGAAUGGCCCCUUUUGCCACAAAACCCUCAUUUCCAUCUCCACCAGGAUGUGUCCUACUUGAGAACUGUCUCCUCCUUCCAUCACACCCUGCCAUCUCAUCUUACCCUAGCCUCUCCCUUACUUAGUCCACAAGGACAUGGAAACUAGCUGGCAGGGCGGGCAGGGGAGCCAUGGGAGCUGUUGUCCUGUCUCCCCUUCCUGCCCUCACCCCCACCCCCACCCCCAGGGCCAGUCCUACCUUCAUUUUCUGAUAAUGCUCCCUGGCAACUGCAGCCAAAGAGGAAAAUUUUUGGGCCAUCAAGUUAUCCAUUGUGAGAAGGUUGCUGCUCAGAUGUUUGCACAGCCACAUUGCCUGAAGAAAGGAAAGAGGACAAGAACAUUUUAGUGAAAGCUGUGAUGGAGGGAACUCCAUUAAAAUGUCCAAGUCCUUCUAUCUUCUAUAUUCUACUAGAAAAGGUUGGCCACAAGGAAGCCCAAUGACUUCUGGUGGGAAGGAGGCUGCCGAGGGGAACAAGUCCAUAGAGUCCUCGCCCCCCCAAGCCAAGGCAGGAAGGGGAGACAGGGCGAAUGCUCUGUCUCCAGCAGCCAGUGACAAUGAGGAGCUAGAAGACCUACAGAAAGCCAUGCCUGUAGCUGCCCUUGGCAUGCCUUUCUCAACUCUGGGCACCUCAGAAGGUUUAUGACUAGAAAUGCAGGGACAGGACCUAAGUAUGGGUCACAGCCAUGCUCAUUCAUUUUUCCUUAGAUUGGGACAUGACCUAGUCUAGCCAAAUGAAUAUUUAGGUCAUUGAUGGCUAUGUAUACUCUACAGACAUGAAUACAUUUUAGGGAAUAAUAAUGCAGUAAAAUGUUCUUAAUGCCCAGAUUAUACUGAUGACCAUUUCAGCAUCAGGAUGACUCAGAAGGCCCUAAAGUCCCCUGGGGCAAGUAUGAACCUUAAUUCUCUCUGCUGUGCAUGCUGGGAGAUGUCAGUGGUGACAGCCUUUUAGGGCUCUGUCUGGAUUUUACUGUAUAUCAUCUUACUGCAAAAUUAGAGUCUGUGUGUCCCCAGGCAGCGGUGAGAGGCAAGGAUAGCGAAUUCACCAAAAGGCUUGUAGCUCAAACACCAGCCAAGCACUGUGGGCCCUGACCUCACCAGGAGGCAAAGUCGAUUGCCUCAGCCAAGCUGAGCCUUGAUGAAAAAAGUUGUCUGUGCUCCUGACACUUCAGGAAUUCUACCCAGCAAAUUCACCAGAGGUCAGGGGGAGAGCUAGACCUGGGGGUAAGCGCGGUGGGCCCAGAGCCCAACAUCUCAAAGACAAAGGCCCUUUGCCAGAGGAGACCCCUCAGGCUGAGUGACUUGACUCUGCCUUUACGUGGCUUGUGGCUCGGGAGCCUGUCUGUCCAGUGCAGAGGCUACCACCUUGGAGUGGCUUCUACAGCCUCCCUGGGCUUUUCCCCAGGAGAUCAGAUCAGUCAGAUCUGGAGGGGAGUCUGGAACCUGCAUCUUCCAAAGCACCCUGGUUUCCUACUAGGCACACAUGCCACCUCUUGUAAUAAGAAAAUAAGAAGCAAGAGAGGGGAAGGAUGAAGGAAAGCUCAGUCGUGGUGAAAACCCACUGAGGGGCAGCCUCAUUCCAGCUCUGCAGAUUUCAUUUUCUGCAAGUGACAUGGUCGUUUGUAACCCAAGGGCUCAGAGAUGCUCUUACCACAGAACAUACCCUCUAUGUUUAGAGAGGUAAGUGAUCACUGAGACGGUUUAUUUUUCUGUCUCCAAGGGGACAUGGACACAGUAACUUGUUUGCCAAACUAAUAAAUAUCAAGAACAAUUUGGAUUUCAAGCACCAUAAAGCAUUUUAAACAGGGACUUUGUCUUAGGGACACGCUCUCAAAUAAAGCUGUAUUUUAUGUAAAUGACCUUCUGAGCAUAUACACACACAUACAUGCCUUUUUAUUUAGCAAAUUGUAUUCCCCAUCAUAUUACUGAGGGAAAUAAUGGGGGAGAGCCUGGAGUAUAUAGGCCAGAUUUAUAAAACCCCAGAUAGAAAAGUCUUUGUUUUCAAAUGUGGGCAUUUCUAUGCAAAUGGCUUGCUUCAGAGGGAGACCGCUGGCUCUGGGCGGUUGCUGGCUCCACAUAAUUCCUAUAGCAGCUUUUCGAUGACUGAGUAGGUGCUGGCCCACUGGAAAAGACCAGACCAGUAUCUUAGGAAAAGGACUGGAAGGCAUGUGUUCCCGGGUCAAAUUGGGAUUCAGGACAUGGUGUCUGGACAGGUGAAUCCAUGCUGAUUCAUCUGCGCACCACCUUGACUUAAAGCCACCCCUCUGCCCCUAAAUGUGGGGAACCAGGAGCACAGAACACACAUUGGGAAAGCAGAUCUCUCUCCUCACCACUGUUGGCCUGACCCCUGAGCCAAGGGGACGAUGAACAUGUCCCAUCUUGUUCAUAUACUUCAACUCACUUGAGCUUCUGAGGUCUACAUGCAGAGCCCAUUCCUGCCAGGCCACCGGGAGGGCCCCUCAUCUGUGCAGAGGACAAUGGAUGUGCAUGACCUUUUAGUUUGGAAGUGGAAACGGAGAAGGAGCUAGUGUCCAUUUGGCCCAUGAUUUAAUGAUCAGCACAUUUACACCCAGCCAGGCUGCGUGGGUGUAAAUAUAGACCUUUGCCCAGAUUCACAGCACCUUCUCGUUUUCAGGGAAAACAUGGAAGGGAAGGUUUAAGAUGACUUCACUGAUUCACUCAUGGAGCACCUUGUCCUUGCUCAGGUGUUGGGACAGAUGCUGCCAAGCAAAGCAUAAUGGAACAUUGGUAAUUGUGUUAGGUGGGAAUUGAAGGGGAGCAGUCGUCCUCCGUGCCUGUCCCUGACUAGGCACUGUCCCUCUCUCCUGGAGAACAUGACAGCCUCAGCACAUGUCAUGGCUUUUUGCUGCUUCUUCGAUUUUUAUGUGUCCCAACUAACUGCUCUAGAGCACUGUUUCCUAUAU